CGUUGAAACAUCAGUUACCGUACGAUCACCGAAGUUAAGCAACAUCGAGACUGGUCAGUACCUAGAUGGGUGACCGCUUGGGAAUACGAGUUGCUGUAA